rnacentral:rRNA from 1 species
GACAGAGGGUGCAAACGUUGUUCGGAAUUACUGGGCGUAAAGCGUGUGUAGGCGGCUAUGUAAGUCGGGUGUGAAAGCCCUGGGCUCAACCCAGGAAGUGCACUCGAUACUGCGUAGCUUGAGUACCGGAGAGGUUGGUGGAAUUCUCGGUGUAGAGGUGAAAUUCGUAGAUAUCGAGAGGAACACCGGUGGCGAAGGCGGCCAACUGGACGAGUACUGACGCUGAGACACGAAAGCGUGGGGAGCAAACAGG